CACAAACCAACAAGGUUCACAACGAUGCGUUCAAAGACAAUAUGGAAACAGACAACAAGGUUCAUGAGGUGCUUUCAGGGACAUGAUGGUAACACAAACGAGGUUUAAAUGGUGCUUUCAAGGACCCAACAACAAGGUUUAAAUGGUGCUUUCAAUGACAAAAGGGCAAAUCAACAAGGUUUAAAUGGUGCUUUCAAUGACAAAAGGGCAAAUCAACAAGGUUUAAAUGGUGCCCACAGGGACGCAAUGGUAAUACAAGGUUUAAAUGGUGCUUUCAAUGACAAAAGGGAAAACCACUAACAAGGUGCAAAAGGUGGUUUUAACUCAAAAGCUUAACAACAG